UAUGGUCUAAUUUUCAUUUUUGGGUGAACUAGCCCUUUAAAACUGCAGUGCGCAAGCUUAGAAUAAACAGGCUGUUAUCUUUAGUUGGUGUUGACGUAGAUAUAGUUAUAGUUCUAUAGUGUGAAUGGGCAUACUUGCCAAAUCAACGUGUUUAAAUCACACACACACAUACAUUCUCCAUUCCUUCCCACUCAGAACACCACAGGUGUCUUUCUCCAUUUCAAAUAUCAUUCUCUCUAUCCGUCUCUCUUACACUCUUCCUCUCCUCCUGUGCACUGUGAUGUGUCUGUCACUUUCUCUGUCACUGCCACUCCCCUCCACCACAACUCGGCAGAUCAGUGGUUGGUUACCAUGGCAAUGCAACAGCCCAGUUACUCCGGAGCCUUCGGUGGAUCAGAACACCAAGGCUACCUGCACCCAACCGUCUUCCCUCUGGCUCUGAGAUUUGAAGCCGUCACCCACCCGUGAACGUCGCUCUCAAGAUGAACAGCCAAGAAUAGCUGUUCGCACUACAGACGCAUUUCAAAAUGCUCAUUCCGUUAUUGUGAUCGUCUCCUAAUGCGGGGCAAGAUGUUUUCAAAAACAGCCGCCUCUCACUGAUGCGUUCGCCGUAUAACGUGCCAUGUUCACGCUUGAAGAAUCCGCGCCCGCGGAGCGGAGGAAGUCAUUUGUUUUUCCUGUCAUUCCUGGAUGCGCCCUGCCCCGCUUCCCACCAGCGCUCGCUCCAAACACAUUGAGCUGAUCCGCUUUAUUUAUGGAAUGACAGAUGGGCCAAUUAUCAUAAAACCAAGAACGGUGCCAUUUCCUUUUCAAACAGUUGACUUCAUUAUCUGCAAGAGUGGAGGGGAGGAUAGAGAGGAAAGAUGGCGAGCUUCGCACCCUGCUUGCACCUCUGGAGCCUGACCUCGCAAAACAAAGGUUGCCGUGCAUAGUAAUAAGUCCUGUGAGACGGAGCAACCAGAAGGCUGAAAUAAGCUCGCCAUUGGCUCUUUAACUGUGCGUGGAACUGUAUCUGCAGGAGAUUGAGGAAAUUAAUCAAGUGCUUCUGCAACAGCAACACCUCACGAAAGGUGAUUCUGAGGAAAAACAAGAGAAGGAAAGCAAAGAGUCUGCGACAGAUGAGGGAACAGCCAUAAGUUCUGCUCAAGAAGAUGGAUGGAUAGCAUUUUAACAUAAAAAUGUGCCAUUUUACAUAGCAAAUUUACAGAAAAUAAAUAAAUAAAUGAACAAAAUCAGUUUGUAAUGUUCACAUUUCAGUCUUGCACUCUAAAUAAUUUUUUUUUUAACCCAAAAUGCUGGGUUUAACUUGUUGGGUUAUUUUAUUGGGUUAUUUCAAAUAUUUUUAAGCCAGGUGCUGGGUAGAUUUUCUGUAACUAAGUUGCUGGGUCAUUUUUAAUGCUGGGUUAUUUUCUUUACCCAGGCGCUGGGUUAAGCCUGUCUCUGACAAAACAUCCCAGCUGCUGAGUUAGCGGUUCUCAGUGCCACCAAUUUGGUGCACUUCUUCAGCGAUCUUCAAAUAAAGGCAGGUUUUGGAGUCAGUCACAGCAUCUUUCAGCUGUGAGUGAAACAAGAGGCCACGGUCUGAAGUUUGCAGAUACCCCAGCGAACAGCAACCCUUCACCGGCUUAGAUUUCGGCGAAAACACCGGAACGAGAAUCAGCGCUAUUUCAGUAAAAUGUGAUUACAGAGAACUGUUGAACUGUUUAAAAUUAAAAUGCUACUUUAAAUGUUACAUUUCUUAUGUCUAAAAUGCUUGUUAAAUGACUUUAAAUGUAUGUAAUAUUGUAAACUAUUGCUGUAUAAAUAAAUGUUCAUCUUUUGA